rnacentral:misc_RNA from 1 species
CCAUCGCAGACCAAUAGUAGACAGGUGCCAACAUGGCUGCUACUGCACUGCCUCGUCUUCUCGUGACAUCGCCCUUUGUCCUGGCAACGAUAGUUUAAUUUACGUCGAAAAGUUCUGAUCAGCGACACGCGAGAGACGACACAUCCUUUAGAUGGAACGGCGAACUUCAAUGGAAGACUUCAGCUAGCAAGAUGUCAACCCGCUCGCAGCUCACGAAAGAUCUGAACGAAUCGGUGAAAGCGUUACUUGGCAAGCAUGUGAAAAUACUGUUAAAAAACGUGGUGAAACUAGAAACGAAGCAGGAUAAACAGGAAAAUCGUGUUCUCGUAUUUUCACCAUGUCGCCUCUUUCUCUUAUCGGCCAAAGUACCCACAAGAAUCGACUGCCAUUUUCAUUAUUUAGAGAUAACGGCCAUAGAGUCCAAACGAGCAAAUCAGCUAUGUUUGACUGUCGGAGAACGAUAUUACAAUUUUACUACAACCAGCGUAGGUAUAGAUACUACAGAAGUGGACGCUAUGAUAGAGGCCUUACACACGGCGAUUCGAAAUAUCUUCCCUACAGUACCGCUAAAUUAUAUUAUACGAAAGAUAGAAGUAAUACCAGCUAGCAGAUUGCAAAGUAUAAGAGGCAGUGAAUUAGCCAGAAGCACAGAAGCUACGAGACACACGGGUCCAUGUGGUGGUUUCUCAACACAAUAUGCAUGUAUGUGCGAUCUACAUGGCGUGCCGUACAGAGAGGAAGUGGCUUGGGACGUCGAUACGAUAUAUCUUUCGCACGACACGAGGGAGCUGAAUUUAAGAGACUUUGAUCAUUUGGAUCAGAAGGACUUGGUACCGAUUAUCUCAGCUUUGGAAUACAACACCUGGUUCACAAAAUUAAGAGCAUCCCAUCUUAAGCUGAGCCAUGAGCCCUUGGAGCGACUGUUACACGUUAUGCGAAGAUCCUUGUCCAUUCAGGAACUUUAUCUGGACAAUCUCGGGAUCAAAUGGGAUUUCGCUCACAAGCUGUCGUUGGCCUUAAUUUCUAAUGCUAACACGAUGCUGCAAACGAUAGAUCUGUCGCACAAUACGAUUGAGGACAAAGGAGCCUCUAGCUUGUGUGGGAUAAUAGCCAAGUUAAUGCAAGGUGGCACGCACCUGAGUGGUCCUAUUGGCAAGCUACCUAAGGGUCUGCAGAAGUUGAACCUGGCCCACUGCGGAUUAACCGGCAAGGGAGUGGGCCAGAUAGCGCAUGCGUUAAGCUUGAACAGAAGCAUGCCGACUAGCUUGCGAUAUCUGAAUUUCUCGGAGAACACAUUGAAAGACGACAUCAAUAAUCUGUGCAAUUUUCUGGCGCAACCCAAUAGUCUAACACAUUUGGACCUUAGCGGUACUGAUACUACUUUAGAAUGUUUAUUCGGUGCAUUGCUACGGGGUUGUGCAACUAAUCUAGUCCACCUGAACGUCGCCCGGAAUUCCUUUUCGAGCAAAAAGACCAAAGAGAUACCUCCGAGUUUUAAGCAAUUCUUCACGGCUACUCUCUCGUUGAAGUACUUAAACAUAUCCUCCUGCAAACUACCGUUGGAGGCGCUGAAACACCUGCUACUCGGCCUGGCGUGCAACGAAAGUACAGUUGGCCUAGAGCUUGAUAUGAGCGGGAACAAUUUGGGUUCCAUGGGCGCCCACGUUCUGGAGUCGUGCAUUCACGGAGUUCGAUGCAUAGCGUCGCUGGAUAUAUCGGACAGUAACAUGGACGUGGAUCUGGCGCAAGUCGUAACGGCCGUAGGUAAAAACAAAUCGAUAAAGCAGCUGUACAUGGGACGCAAUACCGCCAGUAUGAAGAGCAAGCAUAUAGCCGUUGUGAUGGACGCGUUGGUGCAGAUGCUUCAGGAGGAUGACUGCGUGCUCCAAGCGUUGCAUCUGCCCGAUUCGCGAUUGAAGGGCGAUCUCUACAAUCUGAUCAACGCUCUCGGUAGUAACACGUGUCUGCACACCCUCGAUAUCAGCGGCAAUCAGAUAGGCGAUCCUGGCGCAAGGUUGCUGGCGAAAGCGUUGCAGAUCAACAAUCAUUUGCGAGCCAUCAUAUACGACAAGAACAACAUCACGUUACAAGGUUAUGCGGAUAUUGUUCACGCCCUGGAAAAAAACUGCAGCGUGCGGCACAUGCCGUUUCCGAUCUACGAUCUGCAGCCUUGCAUGAAAACGUCCGCGGAGAAGACGGAGCAAUUGGCCAAGAAGAUACAGGAUCUGCUACAGAGAAACGUCACGCCGUGCAAGUACAGUCACGGGCAGGCGUUUAGAUUGCAGCAGGGAUUUUUGUUGAGCUCUACACAACAAGUAGUCGACAGACUCGUUGUACAGACGCAGGACACUAUCAAAGCCUUAGCGGCGGAGAGCUGUGAUGCUAACAAUGACAUUAAUUAUGCGACCGGUCUCAUACAGGAUGCGGAUAAUUCCAAACAGUUAUUACCAAGAUUACACGAAGUACUGCAAAGACGGGACGAAAAUAAUCCGAUUGAAUUGAAGUUGCAUGAUAUGGCAAAUGAAAUUCACAAGGUUGUGACGGUAUAUCUACAGGAUUCUUUGGAUGCGAUGUUGAAAUGCGUGAAUGAACAGUGCCCCACCAUAUUGUCACAAACAGUGAUCAGAGGCGAUGAGAGCGAACCGAUCGCGGUACAAGAUGAUCUUCGUAAUACAUGCAAAGAGAAAAACCAAAUCAAUAACGAAUUCAUACAUACCACCAUUACCGAACAAGCUGGCGCAGAUAUCGUUAAUAGAGUCAAUGAGCUCAAUUUGGCAGUUGCUGCACAUAUAUCUGACAGAAUUACGGACGAAGUAAUUGAAUCAUUGUCAAGAAGUUAUAAAACUCUGAUUGGAGAUUGUGAUAGUCGAACGAGGAGCAGCACGCCAGAUGUUCUACGACCUAGCGCCGGCUCAAUGAGCAGUGGAAGCGUGAUCGGUGUGACUAGUGCAAGCGGUAUUUCUAUGACGUUACCUCCUGGUAGAGCCAGUCUCGUUUCCGAAGAGGACUGUCCGCCGGAAACAUGUUCGUUGGCAAAUUCCAUCGGCCAAUGCGUCAGUGAUCAAUCGCCGAUGAAAUUGGACUAUCUUAAUUUGGCGACGCCACAUCUGUCGAAUAAACGUAAGAGCUUGCACGGAAGAAAACUCAGACCCAAGUCUGUGGUGGAUUCGGUGGAGGGAUUGUCCGCCGAUGAUAUCCCGGAUCUCUUACCGUCGUUGCCGAAGAGCCAAGCUGAAGCUAUCUCGGAAACUGAACAUUCGCUGACAGAGUCUUUAGACUCUGUCUCGGAAUUGCCCAAUACCGUAGGUCAGCAGCUUCAGCAUCUCGUCAAAUCUAGGCCGCGCAGGACAAAGACGAGAGCACCUACGAGACCGAUGUUACGACCGGAUCAGCCGAUCGACGGUCUCGCCUUGGGCGAAGGUCUCGACGUGUUCUUCCGACCUACCACACCAACCACGCCUUUGAUAUCACCCACAAGUGAUGACAGCUCUCUACAUACUUUCCCAACGGACGGCAGUCCUAAUCUGUCGUUGACAAGCCACAAGAGCAUCCCUCCGGACAUGGAGAAGAAACACAGCUGCAAUUCGCCGAUGUUGAAGACACUCUUAGAACCCGCACCGCGUUCACGCUCCAGUGACAAUCUAGAGAAAUUCUCCCCUCUUGUCGGCAGAAGAUCUCAAGGCGAUUCUCCGUUGACCGCGUCGCCACUCGCCCGACGCAAUACCACCGACAGCGCUCAGACUCACGAGAGAUCCGGCGUGAAAGGUGAGGCCUUCGCGAAGGAGACGUGCAACAAUGCCGCUGCAAACGACGUGAGCGACGAUUCUAAGCGCAGCACGCUGACAAACGUCUCGAGUAUGAGUCCGCGUGGCUCACGCGAUAUCGACGACAGUUUCGCGAGCACGUCGGACAGGGACGCGUCGGUGACGAUGUCCAAGGAGCAGGACAGUCGCAAGAGUGGUGUAAAGAAAUCCACCACCGACACUGACAAGUCAUCCGUGAAGCUGCGGUCCACUGGCUAUGAUCUAAGAAGUCCUAUUAACGGUAAUAGUGGGGCCAAGAAUAUAUCUUCCACCGAUUCGGCCAAGUCCCCGAUAUUGAAGCCACUGGCGAAGAGCAGCGGGUCUACGAGUGACGGAAAGAGCAACGGUGCACUGUUGAAGAACAAGCCGACCCCGCCGGCGACGGCUCCUAAACCGCGACCGUGGAGUAUGACUACUGAUCGGAAAUCUGGUGAAUUCAGUCUGUUAAGCGACGGCUCCAGCCCGAACACCUCGGCGGGCAACACACCGGAUUCCGGCGAUGCUCUCGACGAGUCGACCGACAGCGGCGUCAGUGGUCCGGCUUCCUUGCCGCCGACGUUAUCAGCGAGCAGCACCGCGAGCUCGUUGAGCAACAACAGCGUCGAGAAGAGGUCGGUGAGGGAAUUGGCGGCGAGCUUGAACAAGAGUAAGGCGGACAGGAAGGAGAAUGAACAUACCGCACCUGCAGCAUGGCGGUCGUUGCUUCAACGUUCUGUCGACCGAGCGGACACCAAGGUAACGGAAGUGCCGAGAAUGGUUGAGGAGAGUCGUCUCAGCUUUAAACUUCGUCGCACGUCAUUCCUGCGCGAUUCGAACUUCAACUACAACAACGAUGUGGUUGACGUUUGAUCGGGAGCAAACGGCCGGCGUCGACGUCCCUCUACUCACACGAAGAGAGUCCUCUUCUUCCUGCGCACGCCGUGCGGAGCCGAUAUCUGGCACACCGAUGACAUACAGUAACGUAAAAACGAGCUCCGACUCAGUCUCUUUGUCCUCGGGCCGUCGAGGCGUCGGGUGAAAAACCACUUCCAUUUGCAAGCAGCGUCUCAUUCCGUCGAUCCGAUUAGCGAUUAUCCGUUAGCAUCGUUACUAAGAGGCAGGUUGUUGGCAAAGUAUUUUAUUCUUCGAGGAUUCGUUUUAAUGUAUAAAUACUAUUGUAUAAAUAUUGUUUGUCUGUGCAUUUUAACAGCGAGGAUGUUUAGAAUAGACGAGUCACACGUCGCGCGAUUUCAGCCAGAUAAAUUAUGGAACUUCUUCGGUCUCACUUUCGCGUAUCGGACGUAAUGAGUAGCGACAGCGAUCGAAGCUACAUAGAACAUGUAGAAGAGAAAGAGAGAGAGGGGGGAGAGAGAGAGGGAGAGGGAGAGGCGUCUUCCAAGAUCGCGGUAGGAGCCGUGUAAUAUCGAGAUUUCGUGCACAUGCGUGACUUUCGUUUCGUUUGAAAAGAAUACAUGCAGUAACAUCCAUUUCGACUCGCGUUCUUUCGUUUUCAAUGCGGCAUGUGUGUUCUUAAACUGUGAUUGAUUCGUAGAAAUGUUCACACACGUGGGUUCGGUGCAUCGUAGUUCCUACCACGCGGUGAUACGUUCUACCGUCUGCAAAAGACGCUGACAAGCGCAUAUAGGUUAUCAGUGGCAGCUCUUAUCACAUUCGUUACUUUACCGAUGCAGCUAAUGACUCUCUUCUUAGCGAAUAUAAUGGAAUUGAUGAUGUACGAAGCGAGAUAUUGUCCAACGGACAGAUUGAUUCCGUUGCGGACUGUUGAUCUUGAUCUUCGUCGUUUGGAUUGUACAAGUUGUAAAUCGAUCUCAACUUUCAGUAUUGCGUCACUCGACGUUACUCUCUUUUUUUCUAUUCAAACCAGUUCAUAAGUAUUCUUUGUGUUUUUUUUUAUCAUCGCAGAAACUCAACCGAAUGAAAAUCAUUGAUCAUCGCCAUAAACGUAGAACUUGUGGAAAGUCGCAAUCGCUCGUGUUUUCGACAGAAAGAGAGAAAGAGAGAGUGUGUAAAAUUUUAUAGAUACAUCUCUCGCGUCGUUCGAUCGAAUAACAAUACGAAAUUAGUAUACUGAAAUUGCUCGCGUUGCGAACAUUCGAACGGCGUCUCUUGUCACAAUGAGAAAGCGUAUUCUUUAGGACGUUCAACUCGGUGCAGUUUAAAUUAAUCUCGCGUCGACGAUGUAUUUGUCUUUUUAUAUAGCGAUAAAAACGCGUGUACAUACAUAUGUAAAAAGUAUAGACUUACAUGUAGGCAUAAGUAGUGAAAGGGAAAAGAGAAGUAUAUAAAGUAAAACACUCGUAGAGAUUCGCGAUUCUCUUACGUCUUCGACGAGGGAAGAAGCAACGCGCAAAAGAGAAAAAACACCCAGUUCGAGACGUCUUGUGAGUUUUUUUUACCGCUUGCUAUUAUCAGAUCGUGUAACACAUUGAUAUUAUACACAUACCGAUUCUCUCUCAUAUGAGGAUACAUGAAACAUGUGAUCGUUGCAUUUUAUCAUGAUAUUACACAUUAAACUGAGAAAAGAUAUAUGUAUAUGUAUAUAUCAUUUUUCUUCUGACAUUAAGCACGAUCGAGUAUUAAAAUUAAAGAAAGAGAAAGCGUCGUGUGUCGAGAUGAAAAAUUGCGUGUACGUGUAUGAGUUGAGUGUACACACACACGCACGUGUACCGCGAGACAUAUACUUAAUUUGCGUCAACCUAACUGUUCAGUGUACGUAUGAGAGAUACAUUAGACAGUCAUAUAUAUGGACACAUAUGGAUCUAUAUGAGACGUCAUGGGCGAAACAUGGAGAAAUGCCCGACGAUCGAGAGAGAAUCGAGGAGAGAUGAAUGAGCAAGGUUGGGAAGUAACGCAUUACUCGUGCCGCCAUUACCCCGUUUAAAGUUACUUUAUUUUUAAUUAAAUUUUAAUUACACAAUAAUUACGAUUUAAUCCCGUUUUUCAAAUAAUGAUUAAUGAUGAACAAUUAUGAUUGUCUUUACCUCCGUUUACUUCGCAAAAAUUAUCAAGACUCGAUGAAGAAAGUAAAGAAAUUAUAACGACACGAGUUUCUUGAGCAUCGAUGACGAUAACGUUUUACUUUUCUAAUGCAUGACGAGCAACGAGUUGCUUGUAAAAAAUAACUUUCCCAAUUCUGCCAAUUGAAGGGAAUGUAAUUUAUCCUUACCUCGAUUGCAUCGUAAGACGUCUAUCAGACGGUCACUGGUUCUAAAGCACACUUCUUUCUUCUGAACUAUGCAUAUAAAUUACGUGAACAAGGUGCAUUCUCGCUAAACACUCGUAUGGUCUACUCUAGAUAAAUGUAAGGGGAGGUUUCGUAUCAAUAUAUAUUUAAUCGAUCCGAUUCGACAAACGAAUAGCUACUUAAUAAGCGCGUUUCAUAAUACUACUUUUAGACGCGCACCUCCGAUGAUUUAAACAACCGUCUUUAGGACGAAUAUUAUUCCUACAUACGCGACUCCGCGUGCAUAUCUAUUAGAUCGGUGCGCUAAUAAUGGUCGAUCUUCGCCGGUCCCUUCUGUCUCCUUGUCGUGAUAUUGUUACUGUUAAAUUUAAGAGUUGGAUAGACUCGUACGCAUUUGACACAGACGAAUCAAGAAUGAAGAAUAAAUUUAAGACAAUGUAAUAUAGAGAUAGAAAACGGAGAUUAUAAUGAUAUAACGCGAGAUCGGCGAUUAUACUUCUUCGCAUCGACCCGAGAUAUACAACCUCUCAGUAGUUGACCAAAAACUUAAACAUAUACACAUUUAAUUACGUUAUAAGUAAUUGCGUCAUAUAUACAUACAUAUAUGUAUAUAUGUGUAUGUAUGUACGAGGUACACACGAGGUAUACACGAACACUUUCUUUCGAUGCAAGUAAGAAACGCAACUGUUUAUCCAAUGAGAGAACUUAACUUCUGAGAAUGUACGAAUAUAGUUCUCUCAUUGAAUCGUCGGUUUUGCGUUUUAAGCUGCAACGAGAGAAAAGUGUUCCAACCGUAAAAGCGAGUAUAAACCGCGCAAUGAGCGAUAUAUUGUCUUAUAAGAGGAAAACCUGUGUAUCCGGAGGAAAAUCUACGCAAUCGCGCGUGUAAAAUGACUCUGCCGAUUAUUGUGCCAAAAAUGUACGCCAUCUAUACGGAAAUCACGUACAUUUUUUAUACGGUUGUAAAAGGUCUCGUUGCGUUCUCCGCGUAAAGAUUAUCUCAUUUUUCAACGUCAUUUCAUCCGCUCGUACGGAUCUGUCGAGGAUAGAUUUUAACGGCAUUGUAAAUAACUACAAAAAAGUAAGGGUUUCAUCUUUUUUUAUUCCAUGACGUUUUAUCAUUCACUAAUUUCACUGAACGGAAUUGCGUUACCUUCAUUCGUGUGUAUAUACAUAUAUUUAUACAUUAUACAGGAAAAGAAAGAGAGACGAAAAUCACUCGUGUGUGGCGUAUGUGUGUGCGUGUAUGUGUGUGUGUGUGUCGCCUGUCGCAUGCGACAUAGUGUGCAUGUGAGAGAUACUUGUACGCAGUAUAUUUAAAUUCUUCCCCGAUAUACAUUCCUAUUAUACAUACACGAUAUUCUAUAUACAUACGACGCAAAAAAAGAUCACCACACUACAGAGACAGACGAUACAUAUAAUACCGAAAUACAUUGUGAAUAUUAAUGCCAUCGCGUUCGAUGUCGCAUUCGCUCAAAAAAAGUUCAGAUGCGCAAAUAACAUUUGAUGUUAACAUUUGCAAUCUAUUUUGGUUGGAUGGCUUAUUAGAAGCGCGAUAUUAACCCGUUAUCCGAAUAAAAUAAAGUCUCAUAUCACAUGUA